rnacentral:rRNA from 1 species
UACGUAGGGGGCAAGCGUUGUCCGGAAUUAUUGGGCGUAAAGAGCGCGUAGGCGGUCCGAUAAGUCGGCUGUGAAAGUCAGGGGCUCAACCCUUGGAAGCCGGCCGAUACUGUCGGACUAGAGUCCGGAAGAGGCGAGUGGAAUUCCCGGUGUAGCGGUGAAAUGCGUAGAUAUCAGGAGGAACACCGGUGGUGUAGACGGCUCACUGGACCAUAACUGACGCUGAGACACGAAAGCGUGGUAGCAAACAGG